rnacentral:lncRNA from 1 species
UGUUAAUUCUGACGAUGAAGUGGUGUUUGAUGUGUCAAGUUCAGUACAGGAAGAUUCUGGAAUGCCAGUAUUGGAAGCACAAACAGCUGAAGCUAUUAACUUGACAUUUAGGCAAAUAGGUGAGAAAUCGAAUGUUCUUGAGCAACCUUUUGCUGAGCUAGCAACUGAAGAAUCUGGGGAUUUUGAUGACGCAGUGGUGUUUGACGUGUCAAGUUCAGUACAGGAAGAUUCUGGAAUGCCAGUAUUGGAAGCACAAACAGCUGAAGCUAUUAACUUGACAUUUAGGCAAAUAGGUGAGAAAUCGAAUGUUCUUGAGCAACCUUUUGCUGAGCUAGCAACUGAAGAAUCUGGGGAUUUUGAUGACGCAGUGGUGUUUGACGUGUCAAGUUCAGUACAGGAAGAUUCUGGAAUGCCAGUACUGGAAGCACAAACAGCUGAAGACAUCACUUUAGCAUUUAGGCAA